rnacentral:rRNA from 1 species
UCGAGGAUCAUGCACAAUGGGGGAAACCCUGAUGCUGCGACGCCGCGUGGAGGAUGAAGGUCUUCGGAUUGUAAAUUCCUGUCAUCAGCGAGUAGGCCGCAGGCGGUGAAUAUCCGUUUGUGGUGACAGUAGCUGAAGAGGAAGGGACGGCUAACUUCGUGCCAGCAGCCGCGGUAAUACGAAGGUCCCAAGCGUUGUUUGGAAUCACUGGGCGUAAAGGGUGCGUAGGCGGCGCGGAAAGGCCGAUGUGAAAGCCCGGGGCUCAACCCCGGAACUGCAUCCGAUACUCCCGCGCUAGAGGGCCGGAGAGGAGUCUGGAAUUCACGGUGUAGCAGUGAAAUGCGUAGAUAUCGUGAGGAACACUAAUUGCGAAGGCAAGACUCUGGACGGCUCCUGACGCUGAGGCACGAAGGCCGGGGGAGCGAACA